rnacentral:rRNA from 1 species
GAUGAACGCUGGCGGCGUGCCUAAUACAUGCAAGUCGAACGCGCCGAGAAGGGAACUUGUUCCUUUCAACGCGAGUGGCGCACGGGUGAGUAACACGUGGGAAACCUACCCUUCAGCGGGGGAUAACCAUCGGAAACGAUGACUAGUACCGCAUAGUUGUUCCAGUCGCAUGACUGGAAUGGGAAAGACGGCUUCGGCUGUCACUGAAGGAUGGUCCCGCGGUGCAUUAGCUAGACGGUGGGGUAACGGCCUACCGUGGCUUUGAUGCAUAGCCGACCUGAGAGGGUGAUCGGCCACAUUGGGACUGAGACACGGCCCAAACUCCUACGGGAGGCAGCAGUAGGGAAUCUUCCGCAAUGGACGCAAGUCUGACGGAGCAACGCCGCGUGUGUGAAGAAGGUCUUCGGAUCGUAAAGCACUGUUAUCAGAGAAGAAUAGCCUAUAGAGUAACGGUUAUAGGUUUGACGGUAACUGAUCAGAAAGCCACGGCUAACUACGU